GAUGAACGCUAGCGGCAGGCUUAAUACAUGCAAGUCGAGGGGUAACAGGUCUGUAGCAAUACAGAUGCUGACGACCGGCAAACGGGUGCGGAACACGUACAGAACCUUCCUUCGAGUGGGAGAUAGCCCAGGGAAACUUGGAGUAAUAUCCCAUAGGAUCAUAGAGUGGCAUCACUUAGUGAUUAAAGAUUUAUCGCUUGAAGAUGGCUGUGCGGCUGAUUAGGUAGUUGGUGUAGGUAACGGCUCACCAAGCCUUCGAUCAGUAACUGGUGUGCGAGCACGACCAGUCACACGGGCACUGAGACACGGGCCCGACUCCUACGGGAGGCAGCAGUAAGGAAUAUUGGGCAAUGGAGGCAACUCUGACCCAGCCAUGCCGCGUGGAGGAUGAAGGUCCUCUGGAUUGUAAACUUCUUUUAUUUGGGAAGAAAUGCCGAUUUUCUAAUUGGUUUGACGGUACCAGAUGAAUAAGCACCGGCUAACUCCGUGCCAGCAGCCGCCGCCGUAA
rnacentral:rRNA from 1 species